UAACUGCUUCGCAAGCGCCUCGGUGCCGCUUGUCUCCCUGUCAGCUGCCGCUCCUCAGUGUCUGUCUGUGCGCGGAGAGCUCCUCUCACUCCUUGGAGUCUCCGCGCUGCGUGCCCACUCAGUGACACUGCCCGCUCUCGGGCAGCCCGCGUCUCCUCCCGCUGCUGUUCUACCCUCAGCGCGUGUGCCCCAGCGCGGCUGUGCGUGCGCUUUGCCGUGUGCCGUUGCCCGGUUCCUCAGAUCCGUUUCCUCCGCCCUGCGCCUCGCUCGUGCCGAGCGUCUGAGAGAAGGGGCCGUGGGGCAGACGGAGCGCUCCGAAAGUGAUCGCUCCCCUCAGCCUCCUCUACUGCCGGGAGCUGUUCUCAUGUUUGCAUGGCAACUUGCACCAAGAAAUAAAAUCAUCUGCGGGCUGGGCGAGUGAUGUGUCCCAGAAACGGCACAGAUGGCUGCACGAGCUCCGCGCUGCAGCCAGGUCUCCCAAGCAGAUAUCUCCUCCUGUAUGCUCAUGACGUGAUCCCUGUUUCCCCUUUAGUUUAUCAUUUUAGCUACUACAGCCUCGCCGCGCUUCCCAUUGUUUCCCUGCUAACUUCUCCCACUUGUUUAUUGGCGUUUCACAUAAUCUCACCAUCGCUCUCUUUUAUUGCUUUUUUCUUUUUUUUUUUUUUCUCUCAGAUAUUCUCCCUGCCAUGUCCAGAAAUGUAAAAAGUAAAUCUCCUCUUCUUCCAAUUUACUUGCUCUCCGCAGAGCUCAGCCAAAGUCACUAAGAAGGUUCUUGUUGAAAGAGAAAGCAGAGGAGGCUCAGCGUGAACUCUCCUUCUUUUUAAGCAUUCAGAAGCAUUUUAUAAGCCAUUGUCUCUUUUUUUCACAAACCAGCGCCGUGUGGCAAAUUGUGCAGAAUAGAAAUGCCUAUAAUGAAUGUAUUUAGUACUGGGUCACGCCGAUGAACAUUCUGCCCCCAUGAAUAACACUGUUUUACAAGUUUGCAGCCCUUUCAAAUUGCUGAUCCCCAAACCCUAUAGGCAAACUAGAAAAGCUAACACAAGCAACUGGGACUUUAGAAACCCAUAGCCAUCUGGCCUAAAUCUCUAACAAUCCAAGCCAAUAAUUAUAUCAAUUCAGGCUUUAGUGAACCCCUUUGCAAACACCAAAAGAGCAAAGAAAGGAAUUAGUGGCCAUUCUAAGUUCUGGUGGAGAAAAUUCAAAGAUAAUCUAAUUCCAUUAGUUCAUGGGCAGCUUUUUUUUUUGCGGCUCUGAUAAAUCUUCCUAUAACAUUUUUCCAAAACGUCAGUGUAAACUCUUUUCUGACGAUAAUUGGGGGAAUGGGCUCAAUUAAAUGCAGUUCUGAGUGUCAAUAAAAAGUAUUUUGUUGAUAAAAGAAGUCACUGCCCCAUUACAUGACUACGGAAGAUGAAUAAUUCAUAGAAAAAUAAUUUCCCUGCUGAAAUGCUAACACAUUAUAUAUAUAGUGAAAUGAUAACGUGUUCCUACGAGUAACUGUUGGGUACAUUUAGCUAUGAAGAAUUUGCUUCAUAGCGCAAUUCUUAUCACUUUCCAAAUAGUAAUUCCAUUUCAUCACCUUGAUCUUUCCCAGAGACACCCUCUGAGAUACUCUCAUAUUAAUAUCUGUAUUAACAGAUAGCAGGAUGCCUAUAGAUGGGAAGAGCAGUGUCUCUUUUCUUUUUUUUCCGUUUUUGUUUUGGCAAGUUCACCAUCAGGUUAUUUAUAACAUUGUCACAGAAGUCCACACUGUCAUGCCACCAAGCAUUAACACUUACAAUGAAGAUAAAGAUGUCACUGGCACAGCCCUUAUCAGGAUUCUGAACUAAAGCAAGGGGGAAGCAUUCCUCUGCUUUUUUUUUUCCCAGCAUCCGCUUGAACCCCUGAGCCAGGAGAAGACCCUCCUCACUCUGUUGGUGCAGAGGCAGCAGCGUUGGAGUGAGUGGCGCUUGGGAACAAUCACAGCACUCCCAGGGCUGAUUCCUCACUCAGCCAGUGAAAGAGUCCUGUCUGAAAGUCUCUUAAACUCCCGUCCACCUUUGACAUGGCAGACUUCCCUUACAAAGGGAAGGGAGAGUCCCACGUGCAGCCCGCAGACAUUUCUUAUGGAGCGUGGUAUUUGAGUGCUGCUAGGCACGUGAGCAGAGUGCUGCUGGCCUCCUGGAGACCGAGCCGGGCUAUUCCCACCCAAUACCUAUCUACUCGCUGCAAAAUCUCCUCCAGAGUUGCAUUCAGAAUCGCCCAGCAGUGCACCUGUGGAAAGAAAAGGAAGCAUCUCCCAAUCGGGCUUCCUUUUGCCUACACUGCUACUCCAGAAGCCACAGCUGCACAGCAGCUUAAAAAUUUUUUCACUUAGCUGAAAAUAGGUUUACUUCUCUGGUGGAGAUGCUUUAAAGUCUGUCUUGUUUCUCAAAGGAGUUUUAUUGAGCUUUGAAGCAUAUAUUUCCUUCUAAAAGUUAUCAAUCCCCUAGGUGCAUGGUAUAUAUCCAAAACUUAGGUGACAGAGAAUUUUACUUUGAGGAACUGCUUUGAGAAACAGUCCCUCGCCAGGGACAGGGGAGAAAGAAAAUGAUUUUCUUGACAAUGACAGAAGCACAGUGAAAUUAGCACAGUGCCAUUUGGUUCAUCCACCCCACCCCCAAAAAAGAAAUGAGGUUUUAUUCACUUUCAGUAUGAUUUAUUGCCUUAUGUUGCAACAUGUUACAAAAUGUCAUAUGCACCAUGCUCCAGUGCACAAGACAUAGCAAGACAAAAUUUGAUUUGACACCUGUGUAAUGAAUGUGAAAGACAAGUCUCCCUAAGUCAGAAGUGUAUUUUAAAAGAACAUUUCCAUCACAAUGAAUGACAAAACUGGGGGGCUGCUCUCUCCCUCUUCUCUUUCACCUUCCUCUCCCUCUGUCUGUCCCUCUCUCCUUCCUUCUCUCCCCCUCCCUUUUCAGUGAGCUUGCUGCCCAAAGUAAAACCAAAAACAGGGCUCUCUCUCAUCUUUUCACCUUACAUUUCCAUCUGAUGCAGCAGAAUGGGCGAAGGGUACCCAUGUAGGAAGAUGAGUGUUACCAUUUCAGAUUCACUCUUGGAGCCACAGAGAAGUUGCUAGAGGACUGAUAGGCAUGAAAGGAGGCUGACAUUUCAGCCUGAUUUUUUGGCACGGACAAAGAUAGAUCUUAUAGAUGUAGAACUUAUCACAAAGUAGUGCCGUAUUUGUCCAACCUGUUAGCUGUCUCAUCAGACAGACUUGUACCUGAUACCUCUUCCAGAACUAGGAUGUAUUAGAGGCUGGAUUGCUCUAAGAGACAUUAAAGAUUGAGUGGGCCAUUGCAUUAUCAAAUAGGACCUCCUGUGUAUCACAGUCUUCUUAAGUAAGCCCGAUGAGAUUAGCUGGGACAUUUAUUUUAACCUUUAUUUGUCCCUCAGUCAGGCAUCAGUUAUGCAGCAAAGCGCUGACCAUCCCAACUGGGGACAGAGGCUGCUGAUAAAUAAAUUAGAAAGGGCAAAAAUCCUCUUGACACUAUCAAUCCUGACUUCCCCAAAUCUGCACCUUAAAUUACCAUAACCCUGAGAGCACUGCCUGUAUUGUGCCCCUUCUUGCCAACAGGAGCAUCCUCCAUGACCGCUGUCACAUAUGAGACACCUGUAAACAUAACAGCUAUAUCAGGGAAAAAUGUCUUCUUGGCCUCAGUAGAAGAGCAGCUGUCAUGUCCUGCCCAUAAAUGGAGGGAUGGGGUGAACAGAGGGUUAGGUUUAGGGUUAGCCCUUGAAGCAGAAGGAGAGGAGGGGUGAACAGAGAAAUUUGCUCCUAAUCUACACUUUUCACCAUUUCAAGUUGCUUUGAGAAAUCGAAUCAUUCAUUAAAAUAUAUCAAACCACAAAAUUUUAUACAUUUGCUGAUGGUCGAGAACUUUUUUUUUUUUUUUUUUUUAAUAAGCGAGUUCAAAAUUAGAUUUUACAUUAUCAUCAAUCAUUGAGGCAAAGGGCAGGGGAGCAGAUUUUCUGCUACACGAGUAAAUUUUCAUGGCAGUUUUGCAAUGCAGCAUUGUGUAUAUAAAUAGCAAGUUAAACUUGUACAUGGUUCAUGCACGGUAAGUACCAUACCAAGAUACUUAGUCUCUUUCUGAACCAGGAAGACAUUUCUCUCUCAUCAUUUUACCAAGUGCGAAAGUGAAAAAUGCCUGAGACUUACAGCUUACUGAAUCUUGAUUACAAAGAAAUGCCCAUAACACAUUACAGGUUACUUUUGAAUUAAUAUGAGUAGUCAUUAACAGACAGGCACAGAAUAUAAUGAAAAUUCCAUUGUCUGAUCACUCUAAAUGCAUCUGACAUUGUGUUUGUCGUUCUGUUUAGUUGUGUCCUUGUAAAGUAUGACGUAGAAUAUCUCUGUUAGCCUUUUACCUCAAAUUGCCUUUAAGAGCAAGGCAUGCACUUCAGUAAAACGAGGUUUUCAGCAUUAUUUAUGCCCGAUAUAUGCCUGGUAACAAAGGCACCUUUAAAAAUAUGAUAGGCUUCUUUCCCCCAACACCUGAGGAAACCACAUAACGCUUUCUCACAAAUGCCGCAUUAACCCAACUGUGGCUGCGGUUGUACACAACUGCCCAUUUCCUAAUGCAUCAUUUUUUCUGUCACCAGAACCAGGUGCUCCAGAGGACAGUGGCUAUACCGUUUGGUCCGUGCGCAGUGGGACUCGAGAAACACUGACAUAGUUGAAGACCCCAGACCCCUCUUCCCCAUAAGGAAAAUACUGUCAAGAUCCGGGACAUUCCUCAGCCUAAGCCAAGCAGUCCAGAUCCACUCAUCUGCACCCCCUGCCAGCAGCUGCCUGUGACCAGCUCACCCCGAGGACACCGGUCACGCUCGUGGUCUGAGCCUCAUAGGAGCGCAAUAGCAAUGCUGGGCUCAAUUUCCAAUGGCAGUGAAGGACACUUGGUCAGACUUGUUCAGAAACAGACAUUCUUGGGCAGAGAUUUCCUGCAAGAAUCGGAACCUCUCCACGUGGCCCCAUCUAGCAAUCCUGUGUUACACACCAUGGCCAGCAGGGGAACAUGGUGCUGGUGGCCUUCCCCUUCUUCAAAACCUUACGCACAGCUCACCAGCCAUCCUGCUCCAAGAGUCAGGACCAGCCAUGCAGUUUGUUUUAUUUCACAAUAAAUAUUUAUACAGCACUG